GAUGAACGCUAGCUACAGGCUUAACACAUGCAAGUCGAGGGGCAGCAUGGUCUUAGCUUGCUAAGGCCGAUGGCGACCGGCGCACGGGUGAGUAACACGUAUCCAACCUGCCGUCUACUCUUGGACAGCCUUCUGAAAGGAAGAUUAAUACAAGAUGGCAUCAUGAGUCCGCAUGUUCACAUGAUUAAAGGUAUUCCGGUAGACGAUGGGGAUGCGUUCCAUUAGAUAGUAGGCGGGGUAACGGCCCACCUAGUCUUCGAUGGAUAGGGGUUCUGAGAGGAAGGUCCCCCACAUUGGAACUGAGACACGGUCCAAACUCCUACGGGAGGCAGCAGUGAGGAAUAUUGGGUCAAUGGGCGAGAGCCUGAACCAGCCAAGUAGCGUGAAGGAUGACUGCCCUAUGGGUUGUAAACUUCUUUUUUCAGGGAGGAAUAAAUGACGUGUACCUGAAGAAUAAGCAUCGGCUAACUCCGUG
rnacentral:rRNA from 1 species